UCUCCAAUUAAAUCAAGGAGUCCAACUAAUAAAAGAAAGCCCCCCAAAAAAAGAGAGCCCAAAUUACACACAAACCAUUAAAUUUUAUUUAGUGAGGCCCAAUCUCUUUUAAAACAAAAGCCCAAAUCUUUUAAAAGCAAAAACCCACUAUACUCCCAUUAUCUCCAUCACGCCAUCUCUCUUUCUCUCUCCCUAUUUCUCUAUUUCUCUCUCUCGACCGAAUCGAGAAUUUCAGCAAAUUCUCCCAAUUUCCGUCGCCUUCUCCGAAACACCCCUCGACGCUGGCCGCCGUCGGUCGUCUUCAGCGUGCAGCCGAGCCGCCUUCGCCGCCACUACCGUGGCUGACUUCCCCGGCGGAAAUCGCCGCUGUUCGUUACUCACCGACGGCGUCAGAGACAGCGCCGCAACUCCACACCAGAAACUGCCGCCGCUGCUGCUCUUUGCCGCCUGCUCGCUGCCCAGAGUCGCCGUCGCCACGGCAGUUCGCCGUUGCUCCGUCUGCAUAGAGCCGUCGGCUGCUGUUCGCCGCGGCUCCAUCGGCUGCUGUUCGCCGCGGCUCCAUCGGCGGUCGUUCAGCCCCGCAACAUCACCGCAGCCCCCCCGAUUCGUCCCGGAACUAUCCCUAACAGCUCCGAAACAACCCAGAUUCACCCCAAAAGCGCCGAACAGCCCCCGACAGCCCCGAAGAUAGGAUGGAAGAUGGAAGAUUGGGAGGUGAAGGUGGAAGAUGGAAGAUUGGGAGUCUCCAUGGGGUUAGGGAAUGAGAAGAGUUUUUGGGCUUGCAAGCAAAAUUUUCCAUGAAGGAAUUGGGCUCAACAUAUUAUUUGUGGAGUUAGGCUCAAGUUAGUAAAAAGAAAGAAAAUUUGGAUGGCCCAACACUCUUAAAAUUAAAUAAGGACAUUGGGACUUUAAUUUAUAUUUACUUGGGUCGGCCCAAGUUCUUAUA